GUAGGUGAACCUGCGGAAGGAUCAUUAACACGUAUCCAACGUUAAACAACCCUGUGAACCUUGAACGUGCUCUCGUACACGCUCUAGCAGCAAUCCCUCUGCUAGAAAACCAUACGAUACGAGCGCCAGAGUAAGUGCGGCCUGGCAUCCUAGCAAUCUGUCAGUGGUUGCGCAAGGAUGGCGCAGUAAACGAUCGCUGUAGGCCCACACGGCCGGCGACCGGGCCUCUGUGCUUCGGCACCUAAUGACACCAGUUUUCUGACCCGGUGCGCUGUAACAACCGCACCACAAACUCGAACAACUGUUAACAAUGGAUAUCUUGGUUCUU
rnacentral:misc_RNA from 1 species